AAGUCGUAACAAGGUUUCCGUAGGUGAACCUGCGGAAGGAUCAUUAACAAACACAACAAACACUUGGCUGGAGCGUGUCUUGCUUUUGCUUUGCUUUUCUUUAGCAAUAAAGCAAAAGUAAAGUAAGCAAGAUGCGCGCUGUGCCAUCAACCUUUGUGAAUCGGGCGCAUGGUGGGCAGCAGUUCAGCAAUGAGCUGUUGUUGCCUUGCGCUUAGUCGGGAGUGGAGUGGAAUGGAAUAGAAGAGAAAAGAAUGGAAUGUAUUUUAUUAUAUAAUAUAUUACAAUUCAUUCUACUAUAUUCUAUUUUGUUUUGUUUUAUUUUAUUUAUUCAAGUCUGAAUUCUUUGUCGAAAGACUAAGCAACAAUACAAUGCAAUACAACUUUUAACAAUGGAUCUCUAGGCUCUU
rnacentral:misc_RNA from 1 species